UAAUAAGGAAACACUGUCUGAGAAGAUGAAGUCUCUUUUCGUCUCUGCUUUGUUCAUUGCCUUUGUUCUGGUAUUGUUCUGCCAGUCUGGAAGUGCUGUGAAAUGUUAUAAAUGUGCUCGUGGUCCAUGCAAAAAGAUUGUGACAUGCCCAGCUGGGAAAGAUGCCUGCAUUGCAGUAAACCUUGGUACAAAAAAUGUAUUCGAUUGCUGGAAGUACUCUGAAUGCAAUCUAGACAAAGUUGGGACAUACUACAAGUCUGAAAGCUUUGGAUUCAGAUGUUGUACAGGAAACCUGUGUAAUGAUAAAGCAUAUUCAGGCAGUGGCUAAGAAGUGUCAUCAUAGCUUCUUUGUGGACAUUGGUCCAGAUGCUCGCCUUCUAAAAUCAAAAAGAAAAUACAAAUUUAUUUCUUUUAAAAAAUUACUUAAUAAUCAUUUAAAGAGUGCCCUUCAACUUGUUGUGGUAGGUAGGAAAAUAUCUACUUCUUUGCUACUUCUUUCCAACUUGGCAACAUUUUGUCUUGACAGUUCUUCUAAUAUUAAUAUUAAUGAUAAUAUUAUUAGACUGCAAUUAUUUUGAAAGCAUGCUGUAUGUAAACAUUAUAUACUAUUAGCAUGCAUAGCCAUUGGACAUAAGUAAUAUGGUGUCUAGUUUGUUUGCUUUUUAUGUAUUCCAAGAUCAGAAGCCUAAACAUCCCUUCAGGAUCUUGGUUCAACCUGACUUCAGAUUGUGUGUCUACACUAAUCUCAGUUGUACCUCUGCUUUCUUCAGUGCCUCCCUUGUGUCCUCACAUUUGAUACAGAUGUUAUGGGUGUAUAAAGAACAUUAUCUAGUUCUGUAAUAGUUAAAUGAAACUUUUAAUUGUUAAGCUAUCUCUAAAUAUUAGCCAAUUGCUUCCUUAAUGAAACUCUAUAUGAGAAUGGAAUCAUGUAAUUAUUGUUUUCUGCUUAUGCAUAACAUAAAAUAAAAUCUUGCAAACAUA